GACGUAGGGCGCGAGCGUUGUCCGGAUUUAUUGGGCGUAAAGAGCUCGUAGGCGGCUUGUCGCGUCGGCUGUGAAAACCCGGAGCUCAACUCCGGGCCUGCAGUCGAUACGGGCAAACUGGAGUACUGCAGGGGAGACUGGAAUUCCUGGUGUAGCGGUGAAAUGCGCAGAUAUCAGGAGGAACACCGGUGGCGAAGGCGGGUCUCUGGGCAGUGAACUGACGC
rnacentral:rRNA from 1 species